GUACCCGCGGCAAGACGGAAAGACCCCGUGAACCUUUACUAUAGCUUGACACUGAACAUUGAGCCUUGAUGUGUAGGAUAGGUGGGAGGCUUUGAAGCGUGGACGCCAGUCUGCGUGGAGCCGACCUUGAAAUACCACCCUUUAAUGUUUGAUGUUCUAACGUGGAUCCGUAAUCCGGGUUGCGGACAGUGUCUGGUGGGUAGUUUGACUGGGGCGGUCUCCUCCUAAAGAGUAACGGAGGAGCACGAAGGUUGGCUAAUCCUGGUCGGACAUCAGGAGGUUAGUGCAAUGGCAUAAGCCAGCUUGACUGCGAGCGUGACGGCGCGAGCAGGUGCGAAAGCAGGUCAUAGUGAUCCGGUGGUUCUGAAUGGAAGGGCCAUCGCUCAACGGAUAAAAGGUACUCCGGGGAUAACAGGCUGAUACCGCCCAAGAGUUCAUAUCGACGGCGGUGUUUGGCACCUCGAUGUCGGCUCAUCACAUCCUGGGGCUGAAGUAGGUCCCAAGGGUAUGGCUGUUCGCCAUUUAAAGUGGUACGCGAGCUGGGUUUAGAACGUCGUGAGACAGUUCGGUCCCUAUCUGCCGUGGGCGCUGGAGAACUGAGGGGGGCUGCUCCUAGUACGAGAGGACCGGAGUGGACGCAUCACUGGUGUUCGGGUUGUCAUGCCAAUGGCACUGCCCGGUAGCUAAAUGCGGAAGAGAUAAGUGCUGAAAGCAUCUAAGCACGAAACUUGCCCCGA
rnacentral:rRNA from 3 species